AUGUAUCACUUCUGUCCCAGCCUGUUGGCCAGAACUGGCCCUUCCAUCCCUUUGACUUCACCAUUUGGGAAGCGUGGUGUUUCAUGUGCCCAGAGGAGAGAACAGAUGUUGUGGAGCACUGGUUUGCACAGUGUCCUGCAAAAUGUGUGGCUGGCCCUGAUUCCAGGGACCAAAGAACGACCGUUCACCUUCCAUAUUUCACAGAUGCGUCCACGUAGACAUUCACACAUAUGUGCACAAGUGUGCAUGUGUGUCUAUGUAUUUGUGACAGACAAGGAACAGAGGCCUCCAACAAAGUUAAAUUGUGGGCCAUCUGGCUUCUGGACUGUGAAGAAAAUCCUCUUUCUGAACUUCAACUCAAUUCUGCUCUUUCUGCUUAUUUAUGGUAUUGUUAGAGGUCUGGGCUACAAAAGGGAGCAAAAAGGGAAUUCAGAGGACAUCCUAAUUAAAAACGAAAAUGGAUCAUCACACAAGUAG
rnacentral:lncRNA from 12 species